ensembl:lncRNA
AGAUGGUUGCUUAUACCAGAAAGAAAAUGAGAACUACUAAUAAUACUUCAUUUUUAUUCAUCAAAGAGAAUAAUUACAGAACUGAAGAAGAGAGAGCAAACACGGUAAAAACAUAGUACAAACAAGAUAAAACAUACUCAAAGCAGAACAGAUGGAGGCAAGAGUCGUCAAAACUACUAAGAACCCAGACUUCAACAAAAAAGUAAAAUGGAUUUUAUCAUACUUGGAAAACCAACAAUUGCAGUCUGGAUUCAAGCAUCACUGUUUGAUGCACCCAACUUGAGUCAAAAAGAUGCUUCAAAUCCCACUAGGCUGGAGCCAUCUGAAGAUUUGCCUGAGACUGAAGGAUUCACUUCUACGAUGGCUCCUUCAGGUAACCAAGUUGGUGCUGGCUGUUGGUGGGAGGCCUCAGUUUCCCACCAUGUGAACCACUCCAUAAGAUUGGAGUGCCACAGUAUCUUUAAUGACUUCACCUUGGAAGUCACAUUCUAUCAUUUUUGCAAUAUUUUAUUGGUUAUUCAGUGUGGAAGGAGACUAUAUAAAAACAUGAAUAUCAGGAGGCUAGAAUCCUUGGGGCCAUCUUAGAUGCUUACUACCAUAGCAUUUUUACCUAUUUAUAUAUUUCAUUUACUCAGUUAGUACAUCUGUCAGUAUCACUUAAACCCAAUGCACUAGGCCAGGUGUUGUGUGGGGCAUAAAGAUAUGUAAGUUAUAAGUCCUGCUCUUUAAAAUUUAAUACCUGGUGAAAGGAAUUAAACACCCACCCCACAGCUGCAGUACAAGGCAAUAUAGGAUAAAUAUCAAGGAUACAGUGAUGUCAGUAAGCUCCUCAGGUGUUCAGAAGAAGAGGAGCAAUUUCUCCUUGGGGUUUCAGAACAAAUGGAACGUGAUCUGGGUCUCUAAGAAUAAAAUAGGAUCACUGUGGGCAAAGACAAGUGAAAAUACAUCUCACGCUGAGGAAGCAAUGUGAACAGGAUCAUGAAGUUGAGAAAGCAAGCUGAGUUCAGGGACCAGCAACCAGGAUACUUUAGAAUAGCACAUGUAGAAAGUGGAAGGAUAAAGGGAGGGAAAUGUAGGCAGAGACCAGUUUAUGCAAGUCCUUAUAAGCUAUGUUAAAAUUUUUGAGCCUACUCAGCAAAUAAUAGGAGCAGAUAAAAUUUCUGAGCUGGUAAGUAAUGGGAUAAAAAGGAGCUUUGAGCUUACUCUCCAAGGGGAAUCAGAGAGUGAGAAAUCAGAUACAGAGAAACAGGGUAGGAAGAACUUACAAUAAGGAGAGAAGGUAAUACAAUAAAUAUUGUAAGUAGAAUUAGAAAGGAAUAAUCUUGCAGGAGGAAUCUGAAGAAGUUAGCAAUUCAUUGGAUACCACAUUUGAGGAAGCUGUCCCAGUAACUUGAGAUUCGCUACCUAUUUUGGAGGAGAAGUUGGUUUAAAGAGGAAGAUGGUUUAAAGAAUGUGUUUUAGGACAUAUCAUUUAAAAAGAACUUGAGGAUUCCUUGUAUGCUCUCUUUUCCUUUUCCCGCACUGAGGUUUAAUCUCCCUGGGUAGUUGCUUCCUGAGAUGAAUCCUGGAGACCUGGGAAGUUGGGGAAUCCUGGCACUGAGGUGAGGAAAGAGGGCAGUGUGGGGAAGAACAGGGCCAGAACCUCAGGAAAUUGAAUUGAGUUAGUUGGCUCCAAAGUCUGUUGAGCUCAAUUGGUAAUCAUGAUGGUGGACAAGGGAUGGGAUUGUGAGAAAAUGAUGAACUGAAAAAUAAUAUAGUGGCUAAGGUCACGGAUUUUGAAGUCAUACGGGCAUGAUUAAAAAUCCAGGUCUCUAUUUCUAGCUGACCUUGGCGAAAUGCUUAAUUUGCAGGAAGCUCAGUUGCCUAACCUGUAAUAAAUAAGAUUCAUAAUAGGGUCUUGUGAGGUUUCAAUGAAAUGUUUGGCAUAUCAAGCUCUCAGCAUAGUGGCUGGCACAUAGAAAACACUCUGUAAUGAACAGUAGAUUUAUUGAGAUGGUGGGCUUUAUGCUACUACAAAAGGAGAUUGAUAGUGUCCCAGGAUCUUUUAGACCAGAUGAGUAGAAUUACUGAUCUCCUUUGGAAUCUGAUUAAUCCCUUACUGCAUACACCUGGGGGGAGGUGAGUACUCACAUGUGUUUGUAUUCUAAGGAGAUGUCAGGUAAAAGGGGUUGAAAAAAACCAUUGGCAAAUGUGCUAAUUAAUAAACACACCUUAAUGUUCAUUCUUAUUCUCCAUGAACUCUUAUCAACAGUUUUACAUAUAGUGUUCCUUUCACUCUAAAUUAACAAAUGAAUCCACACAUUAUCUACUUGUGGGUUUCUUCCCAAUAGUAAAGCUUAUU